rnacentral:rRNA from 1 species
AUUGAACGCUGGCGGCAGGCCUAACACAUGCAAGUCGAGCGAGCGGCGGACGGGUGAGUAAUGUCUGGGAAACUGCCUGAUGGAGGGGGAUAACUACUGGAAACGGUAGCUAAUACCGCAUACCAUCAGAUGUGCCCAGAUGGGUUUAGCUAGUAGGUGGGGUAACGGCUCACCUAGGCGACGAUCCCUAGCUGGUCUGAGAGGAUGACCAGCUACACUGGAACUUAGACACGGUCCAGACUCCGACGGGAGGCAGCAGUGGGGAAUAUUGCACAAUGCGCGGAAGUCUGAUGCAGCCAUGCCGCGUGUGUGAAGAAGGCCUUCGGGUUGUAAAGCUCUUUCAGCGUGGAGGCGUUACCCGCAGAAGCAGCACCGGCUAACUCCGUGCCAGCAGCCGCGUAAUU